AGAGUUUGAUCCUGGCUCAGGAUGAACGCUGGCGGCGUGCCUAACACAUGCAAGUCGAGCGGAGAUAAGUUGAAGCCUAGCGAUUCUUAUCUUAGCGGCGGAUGGGUGAGUAACACGUGGGUAACCUGCCCUGCACUGGGGAAUAACAGCUGGAAACGGCUGUUAAUGCCGCAUAUGCGCACGGAGCCGCAUGGCUUUGGGCGGAAAGAUUUAUCGGUGCAGGAUGGGCCCGCGCCGGAUUAACUAGUUGGCGGGGUAACGGCCCACCAAGGUGAUGAUCCGUAGCCGACCUGAGAGGGUGACCGGCCACAUUGGGACUGAGACACGGCCCAAACUCCUACGGGAGGCAGCAGUGGGGGAUAUUGCACAAUGGGGGAAACCCUGAUGCAGCGACGCCGCGUGAAGGAUGAAGUAUUUCGGUAUGUAAACUUCUAUCAGCGGGGAAGAAGAUGACGGUACCCGACUAAGAAGCCCCGGCUAACUACGUGCCAGCAGCCGC
rnacentral:rRNA from 1 species